rnacentral:rRNA from 1 species
UGGGGAAUUUUGGACAAUGGGCGAAAGCCUGAUCCAGCAAUGCCGCGUGUGUGAAGAAGGCCUUCGGGUUGUAAAGCACUUUUGUCCGGAAAGAAAUCCUUGGCUCUAAUACAGUCGGGGGAUGACGGUACCGGAAGAAUAAGCACCGGCUAACUACGUGCCAGCAGCCGCGGUAAUACGUAGGGUGCAAGCGUUAAUCGGAAUUACUGGGCGUAAAGCGUGCGCAGGCGGUUUGCUAAGACCGAUGUGAAAUCCCCGGGCUCAACCUGGGAACUGCAUUGGUGACUGGCAGGCUAGAGUAUGGCAGAGGGGGGUAGAAUUCCACGUGUAGCAGUGAAAUGCGUAGAGAUGUGGAGGAAUACCGAUGACGAAGGCAGCCCCCUGGGCCAAUACUGACGCUCAUGCACGAAAGCGUGGGGAGCAAACAGGAUUAGAUACCCUGGUAGUCCACGCCCUAAACGAUGUCAACUAGUUGUUGGGGAUUCAUUUCCUUAGUAACGUAGCUAACGCGUGAAGUUGACCGCCUGGGGAGUACGGUCGCAAGAUU